AGAAGAAAACAACUAAAACUCCUGACUUGGAAUGAACUGAACAGCACAGCAUUAUACAAGGAAGCAGCGGUGGCUGAGCCGUACCUUGAACAGGAAGUGAUGAGACUUUAUUCUAAAGUCAAAGUGACCUGUCGUCAAACUAUACAUUUCUGAAAGAUUUUAUACAGACUGAGAGGAUUUCUUCUCCUGCAUGUGAUCAAUGUUUACACUGUGCUUGGGAAGUACAAAAAUAUGCUUUUCUUUCAUUUGUUUUGACACCAUAAACAGGACCUAAACAGGACAGUAAUCCUGUGUGACCUAAAUAGACAGAAAAAGUUUAUUUCUUAUAAAGUGAAUGUUGCGACUAGUUAGCAAGACUAAACUGACUCAUUUAUUUUCGGCAACUGAUAAUAUCUUGAUUUAUGCAACACRCACCCACAUAAAUCACAAAUAUAAUAAAGUUUUCCAUAUCACUUA